rnacentral:rRNA from 1 species
UGUCUCCCCGCUCCAAUCAGUGAAACUGAUCUUCCCGUGAAGAAGCGGGAAUAUACCUAUAAGACGAGAAGACCCCAUGGAGCUUUAAAUCCAACAGCACCUAUUACCCAUACAUCUUUAUAUUUUUUUAGCAAAUGCUCGUUCGGUUUUAGGUUGGGGUGACCAUGGAGUAAAAAAUAACCUCCACGAAAAAAGGCAUAAAACCCUUAUCAAAGAGCCACAUCUCUAUGAAUUAGUAAACUAAUUUCUGAUGAUCCGAUAUUCGAUCAACGAACCAAGUUACCCUGGGGAUAACAGCGCAAUCCGCCUUAAGAGCCCCUAUCGACAGGCGGGUUUACGACCUCGAUGUUGGAUCAGGGUAUCCCAGUGGUGCAACAGCUACUAAAGGUUCGUUUGUUCAACGAUUAA